CACGUAGGAGGCGAGCGUUGUCCGGAAUCAUUGGGCGUAAAGAGCGCGCAGGCGGCUUGGCAAGUCGGGUGUGAAAUCCCGGGGCUCAACCCCGGGACUGCAUUCGAUACUGUCAGGCUAGAGGUAGGUAGGGGAGAUCGGAAUUCCUGGUGUAGCGGUGAAAGUGCGCAGAUAUCAGGAGGAACACCGGUGGCGAAGGCGGGUUCUCUGGGCCUUACCUGACGCUGGAGACGGCGAAAGCGUGGGGAGCGAACCGG
rnacentral:rRNA from 1 species